CAAUCACACAAUACAUAACAUUCAGAUUGAAUGUUCUGUAUACAAAUGUCUUGACAUCGAGUCUGACAUCUCAGCAAAAUCCCGCACAUUCACAUUUUAAACACCCUGCAGGAACAUGUUAUCUCAUGUCAAGAUAACACUUGUGACAACUUGUGAAAACUCUAGGUUUUACCAAAAUUGAUGCCAACACAUAGAACCAACAAAC
rnacentral:lncRNA from 1 species